UACGUAGGGGGCAAGCGUUGUCCGGAUUUAUUGGGCGUAAAGAGCGUGUAGGCGGCUAUGCAGGUCCGCUGUGAAAACUCGAGGCUCAACCUCGAGACGUCGGUGGAAACCGCAUGGCUAGAGUCCGGAAGAGGAGAGUGGAAUUCCCGGUGUAGCGGUGAAAUGCGCAGAUAUCGGGAAAAACACCCGUGGCGAAGGCGGCUCUCUGGGACGGUACUGACGCUGAGACGCGAAAGCGUGGGGAGCGAACAGG
rnacentral:rRNA from 1 species